rnacentral:rRNA from 1 species
UACAGAGGGUGCUAGCGUCAUUCGGAAUUACUGGGCGUAAAGCGCACGUAGGCGGACUGGAAAGUUGGGGGUGAAAGCCCAGGGCUCAACCCUGGAACUGCCUUCAAAACUCCCAGUCUUGAGGUCGAGAGAGGUGAGUGGAAUUCCGAGUGUAGAGGUGAAAUUCGUAGAUAUUCGGAAGAACACCAGUGGCGAAGGCGACUUACUGGACACAUAUUGACGCUGAGGUGCGAAAGCGUGGGGAGCAAACAGG